CCACAGGGCGGGAGGAAAAGGGCGGGAGGAGGAACAGCGCGGCGCUCCUCACAGGGAUCACACUGCGCUGCCACAGCCAAUUGCUCACGUCCUGUUUCUAAAGAAAAAAUCCAUCACAUUGGCCAGCUAUGGAAGGACAACAGCAGAGGAACAGACGAGAUUCUCAAAAUGCUAUUCUGAGACCAUGGUCUUCAUGAAUACGUGAGUCAAAUCCCUUUGUACAGUCAAGGUGCGUCUGUAUGCAGAACACCGAAUGCGGGACUUAAUGAUGAAGGGGGAAUUACCAACAAUAUAUUUAUUUCUCCCUAAUGAAGCUUUUCUAAUGAAAUUUAAUACUGCCAAGGUUGCGAGAUAUUUGAAACAGGAGCCCAUUUCAAACCUUUCAGCCAAAUGCUGGUGAUAGCAUUAGCGAGGCGUGGGAAUCGAGUCUGUACGUAGUGCUGUAAGAGAAAAUGAGCUGAGGGGAGCGGGCUGAACAAAGCAAAGCAAAAUAGAAAGAACGAUGGCUUCAGACCAAAGGAGUAAAGGAGUACACACUUGUUAUUAGGCCAAAUGUUUUGACCUGCUGGUUGGGAACAUAGAAGAGAAAGAGGCAUGAGAACUGGCUGGAUGAUGUGACUCAAAAACUUAAUUUCGCAUCACACAGUAAAUUUAUUAUUAUCUUUUUCUUAAGAUGCAAAUCAGAAUAAUUAAUUCAAGUUAUUUGCUGUAGCAUCAUUGCAAGUGAAUUUUCAACAUAUAUUUCAAAAGGUUUUGGAAUGUUUCCAAAGCUGCAAACACUAAGUAUUUUCAGGGUAUUUGUACGGUAAGCCUUUCCUAUUUACGUAUGUAAUAUUUAAGCCCAUAAUAUUUGAGCCUUAAGUUUCAAGGCAGAAUUAAUAAUCCAGGUUUGUAUUAGAGAAGAAACAGUUUAUUCAAAGCAAAAGGGGCGAGGAGAAAAAUUAUCUCGUACUUAGCAACAUGUAACACAAACCACAGUGCAACGUGGGAUGCGUGGAAGGAGCUACAAAACAUCAGCUUACACAUAGGAGCUGUAGUUUGAAUAGAGCCCAGCUUUUAGGCACCAGAUCCCCCAGCACACACAGCGGGCAGAAAGCAAUUCGUCGUGCUUCCCCAAAGGUUCCGGGGAAAACCUCCUGGAGAGAGCAGCACAGAAGGAGGAUCUCAGCAAAUCACAAAGUGCACGAGAAGGACUAAACAAUGCGAUACUCCUAUUGCCCUGAACGAAGUCAAGGGAUGUGUGAAUCUGAUACCGUGCUGAAGAAAAUUCCCGUUAAUAAAUGUGAUUAAAUGUU